UGGGAUGUAGCCAAGCGGUAAGGCACCAGACUUUGACUCUGGCAUUUCGAUGGUUCGAACCCAUCCAUCCCAGCCA
rnacentral:tRNA from 1 species